rnacentral:rRNA from 1 species
CUGUUGCGUCGGAGACCAACAGGGAUGCCUCAGUAACGGCGAGUGAAGCGGCAACAGCUCAAAUUUGAAAUCUGGCCUCACGGUCCGAGUUGUAAUUUGUAGAGGAUGCUUCGAGCAUGGUCUGGCCUAAGUUCCUUGGAACAGGACGUCAUAGAGGGUGAGAAUCCCGUAUGCGGCCAGGUGCCUACGCUCAUGUGAAGCUCCUUCGACGAGUCGAGUUGUUUGGGAAUGCAGCUCAAAAUGGGUGGUAAAUUUCAUCUAAAGCUAAAUAUUGGCCAGAGACCGAUAGCGCACAAGUAGAGUGAUCGAAAGAUGAAAAGCACUUUGGAAAGAGAGUUAAACAGUACGUGAAAUUGUUGAAAGGGAAGCGCUUGCAACCAGACUUGCGUGCGGCCGAUCAUCCGGUGUUCUCACCGGUGCACUCGGUCGCGCUCAGGCCAGCAUCGGUUUUGGUGGUUGGAUAAAGGCCCUAGGAAUGUAGCUUCUCUCGGGGAGUGUUAUAGCCUAGGGUGCAAUGCAGCCCACCGGGACCGAGGACCGCGCUUCGGCUAGGAUGCUGGCGUAAUGGUUGUAAGCGACCCGUCUUGAAACACGGACCAAGGAGUCUAACAUCUAUGCGAGUGUUUGGGUGUCAAACCCAUACGCGUAAUGAAAGUGAACGGAGGUGAGAACCCUUAAGGGUGCAUCAUCGACCGAUCCUGAUGUCUUCGGAUGGAUUUGAGUAAGAGCAUAGCUGUUGGGACCCGAAGAUGGUGAACUAUGCCUGAAUAGGGUGAAGCCAGAGGAAACUCUGGUGGAGGCUCGCAGCGGCUCUGACGUGCAAAUCGAUCGUCAAUUUGGGCAUAAGGGCGAAAGACUAUCGACCAUCUAGUAGCUGGUUCUUGCGAGUUUCCCUCUCUCGCAGAGAAAUACCCGCCUACAUAGAGAUGGGUUCGAAUUUAGUCUUCGGCCCUAUGCGAAUUUGGACGAUGGAAUUGGCACGUUCGAAUCGCUUGCGAGCCUUCAGAGUUCUCUGGCGUCCAUAUCAGCCUAGGUUCACUAAUCGGUUCACGCUAUGCUCUAUACG